CAGUCGCCGCGGGAAUACGUAGGUGGCAAGCGUUGUCCGGAAUUAUUGGGCGUAAAGGGCUCGCAGGCGGUUUCUUAAGUCUGAUGUGAAAGCCCCCGGCUCAACCGGGGAGGGUCAUUGGAAACUGGGAAACUUGAGUGCAGAAGAGGAGAGUGGAAUUCCACGUGUAGCUGUGAAAUGCGUAGAGAUGUGGAGGAACACCAGUGGCGAAGGCGACUCUCUGGUCUGUAACUGACGCUGAGGAGCGAAAGCGUGAGGAGCGAACAGGAUUAGAUACCCCGGUAGUCCCUGUCUCUUAUAA
rnacentral:rRNA from 1 species